AUUGAACGCUGGCGGCAGGCUUAACACAUGCAAGUCGAGCGGAGAGAGGUAGCUUGCUACUGAUCUUAGCGGCGGACGGGUGAGUAAUGCUUAGGAAUCUGCCUAUUAGUGGGGGACAACAUUUCGAAAGGAAUGCUAAUACCGCAUACGUCCUACGGGAGAAAGCAGGGGAUCUUCGGACCUUGCGCUAAUAGAUGAGCCUAAGUCGGAUUAGCUAGUUGGUGGGGGAAAGGCCUACCAAGGCGACGAUCUGUAGCGGGUCUGUGAGGAUGAUCCGCCACGCUGGGACUGAGACACGGCCCAGACUCCUACGGGAGGCAGCAGUGGGGAAUAUUGGACAAUGGGCGGAAGCCUGAUCCAGCCAUGCCGCGUGUGUGAAGAAGGCCUUAUGGUUGUAAAGCACUUUAAGCGAGGAGGAGGCUACUUUAGUUAAUACCUAGAGAUAGUGGACGUUACUCGCAGAAUAAGCACCGGCUAACUCUGUGCCAGCCGCCGCCGUAA
rnacentral:rRNA from 1 species